GGAGAGGUGCCGGAGUGGUCGAACGGGGCGGUCUCGAAAACCGUUGUGCGCUUUUCGCGUACCGAGGGUUCGAAUCCCUCCCUCUCCGCCA
rnacentral:tRNA from 1 species